rnacentral:rRNA from 1 species
CCUACGGGAGGCUGCAGUGAGGAAUAUUGGUCAAUGGGCGGGAGCCUGAACCAGCCAAGCCGCGUGAGGGAAGAAGGUACAGCGUAUCGUAAACCUCUUUUGUCAGGGAACAAAGGCGGGGACUAGUCCCCGGAUGAGGGUACCUGAAGAAAAAGCAUCGGCUAACUCCGUGCCAGCAGCCGCGGUAAUACGGAGGAUGCGAGCGUUAUCCGGUUUUAGUGGGUUAAAGGGGUGCGCAGGCGGCCUGUUAAGUCAGCGGUAAAAGCCCGGGGCUCAACCCCGGCGAGCCGUUGAAACUGGCGGGCUAGAGUUGGAGAGAAGUACGCGGAAUGCGCGGUGUAGCGGUGAAAUGCUUAGAUAUCGCGCAGAACCCCGAUUGCGAAGGCAGCGUACCGGCUCCACACUGACGCGGAGGCACGAAAGCGUGGGUAUCGAACAGGAUUAGAUACCCCAGUAGUC